GCUGGGCAUGAUGGCUCAUGCCUGUAAUCCCAGCAUUUUGGGAGGCCGAGGUGGGCGGAUCACCUGAGGUCAGGAGUUUGAGACCAGCCUGGCCAACAUGGUGAAACCCCAUCUCUA
rnacentral:SRP_RNA from 1 species